GUGAUUUACAGGAGCCAAGAAAGGGGCUCUUACAAAGCCCUAAAACUCACAAGAAAUCCAACAAAAAUCGAAGAUAGAACAAGCUAAAAAUUGGGGCUUUUAAUAAAUUUGGGAUCACCCAAGCUAGAAGAUUGCAAGUUUGACUCUGACAAGCUAGGUAGGAGCUUGGAAAUGAACGGGUCAAAUGGAUACAAGUUCAAGUAUGAAGCUCGCAAGGAUGCAAGGUAAGUAUAACUUACACUAGUCAUAUAUUUUAGAAUGUUCUUUUGUCGUAUUGACUACGAAUAAGACAAAUGGUAAUUUAGUCACACGUUGACAAUAAUCGUUAGUUUUAAAAGACGCUUUCCCGCGUAAGACAUAAAGAGCCGAAAGUGGUAAUAAACGGUUUAUAAAUAAAAUGAGCAUACGGUGUUAAAAGGAGCGAGUCAUGUAGAUGAGAUGAUAAUAAAUAUUAUCUCGCAAAGGUAAACGGUCAAUUCGGCCAAACGGGUCAAAAGGUGUAGACAUCACCUUUUGACAAUAUCGACUAAUGAUUCUGGUGUCGAGUUAUAUGUUUACAGGAGUAGAUAUCCAAUGGAUACUCGCAUCGCUCUUAAUUAGCAAUUAUAAAGCAAGGUAUUAAACCGGGUUAGUAAGUUGAUCCGAGCCAGGUAUGUAUAAUAGAUUAACUCAUCAUGUAGAAUUUGAAGUUCGAUGAAAGUUAGGCAAAAUAAAAAAAGGGCAUUCGGUUACCUUAAUAGGUAAACUAAAGGAUUUAAAUUAUUUAGACAGAAUGUUUUGAAAACAAGAUUUGGUUAAAAAUGAGAAAUUAGAAUCAAACAACAGGUUUAUUUGAUAAAAUCACGAACGGGUCAAAUUUGGUAAAAAGGGGUAAUAAGCCGAAGACUUAAAAGUCUUAAAUUUUGUUAAUCCAGAUGUUGGGUCUUGACUCCAUUUGAUGGAGGUUCAAUUUACAAUCACGUAGGAAGAAACGGUAGGUCAAACGGACAAGCGGAUUAAAAGUUAUGAAGGUUUCCGUUUUAGAAAUCGGCAAACUUGGAAAAUCUUGCAGAGGCCACCGUAAGUUACGGUACAUUUUGGAUGCCGGAAGACGAUCAAGCUCAUUGGAGAACCGAACACGAUAA
rnacentral:lncRNA from 1 species